rnacentral:rRNA from 1 species
AUUGAACGCUGGCGGCAUGCUUUACACAUGCAAGUCGAGCGGCAGCGCGGGGGCAACCCUGGCGGCGAGCGGCGAACGGGUGAGUAAUGCAUCGGAACGUACCCUGGAGUGGGGGAUAACGCCGCGAAAGCGGCGCUAAUACCACAUAUGCUCUGAGGAGGAAAGUGGGGGGACCGCAAGGCCUCACGCUCUGGGAGCGGCCGAUGUCCGAUUAGCUAGUUGGUGGGGUAAAGGCCCACCAAGGCGACGAUCCGUAGCGGGUCUGAGAGGAUGAUCCGCCACACUGGAACUGAGACACGGUCCAGACUCCUACGGGAGGCAGCAGUGGGGAAUUUUGGACAAUGGGGGCAACCCUGAUCCAGCCAUGCCGCGUGAGUGAAGAAGGCCU